UACGUAGGGUGCGAGCGUUAAUCGGAAUUACUGGGCGUAAAGAGCGUGUAGGCGGCUUGGUAAGUCCGCUGUGAAAGUCCAGGGCUCAACCCUGGAAUGCCGGUGGAAACUGUCAAGCUUGAGUCCGGAAGAGGCGAGUGGAAUUCCUGGUGUAGCGGUGAAAUGCGCAGAUAUCAGGAGGAACACCAAUGGCGAAGGCAGCUCGCUGGGACGGUACUGACGCUGAGACGCGAAAGCGUGGGGAGCAAACAGG
rnacentral:rRNA from 1 species